AGCAGCCGCGGUAAUUCCAGCUCCAAUAGCGUAUAUUAAAGUUGUUGCAGUUAAAAAGCUCGUAGUCGAAUUUCGGGAUUAAUUUACUGGUCGUGCUAUUGUACGUACUGGUUUUAUUGAUUCCUCCCUUCUGACGAACUAUGAUGUCAUUAAUUUGGUGUCAUAGGAAAUCAGGACUGUUACUUUGAAAAAAUUAGAGUGUUUAAAGCAGGCUCACGCUUGAAUACAUUAGCAUGGAAUAACGGAAUAGGACGUUUGAUUCUAUUUUGUUGGUUUCUAGGAUCGACGUAAUGAUUAAUAGGGAUAGUUGGGGGCAUUAGUAUUCAAUUGUCAGAGGUGAAAUUCUUGGAUUUAUUGAAGACUAACUACUGCGAAAGCAUUUGCCAAGGAUGUUUUCAUUAAUCAAGAACGAAAGUUAGGGGAUCGAAGACGAUCAGAUACCGUCGUAGUCUUAACCAUAAACUAUGCCGACUAGGGAUCAGAUGAUGUUAAUUUUUUAAUGACUCAUUCGGCGCCUUAC
rnacentral:sRNA from 1 species